rnacentral:tRNA from 1 species
CGGGAUAUAGUUCAGUCCGGUUAGAAUGCCUGCUUUGGGAGCAGGAGGUCGUGAGUUCGAAUCUCGCUAUCCCGA